GACGUAGGGCGCAAGCGUUGUCCGGAAUUAUUGGGCGUAAGAGCUCGUAGGCGGCUUGUUGCGUCGACUGUGAAAACCCGUGGCUCAACCAUGUGGUCUGCAGUCGAUACGGGCAGGCUAGAAUUCGGUAGGGGAGACUGGAAUUCCUGGUGUAGCGGUGAAAUGCGUAGAUAUCGGGAGGAACACCGGUGGCGAAGGCGGCAUCCUGGACCAACACUGACGCUGAGUGAGCGAAAGCCAGGGAGCAAACGGG
rnacentral:rRNA from 1 species